rnacentral:rRNA from 1 species
GACGAACGCUGGCGGCGUGCCUAAUACAUGCAAGUCGAGCGGACAGAAGGGAGCUUGCUCCCGGAAGUCAGCGGCGGACGGGUGAGUAACACGUGGGCAACCUGCCCUGCAGAUUGGGAUAACUCCGGGAAACCGGGGCUAAUACCGAAUAACAUUGGAAACCUCAUGGUUUCCUUUUAAAAGGCGGCUUCGGCUGUCACUGCAGGAUGGGCCCGCGGCGCAUUAGCUAGUUGGUGAGGUAACGGCUCACCAAGGCGACGAUGCGUAGCCGACCUGAGAGGGUGAUCGGCCACACUGGGACUGAGACACGGCCCAGACUCCUACGGGAGGCAGCAGUAGGGAAUCUUCCGCAAUGGACGAAAGUCUGACGGAGCAACGCCGCGUGAGUGAAGAAGGUUUUCGGAUCGUAAAACUCUGUUGUCAGGGAAGAACAAGUACGGGAGUAACUGCCCGUACCUUGACGGUACCUGGCCAGAAAGCCACGGCUAGCUACGUGCCAGCCGCCGCGGUAAUAC